UACAGAGGAUGCAAGCGUUAUCCGGAAUGAUUGGGCGUAAAGCGUCUGUAGGUGGCUUUUUAAGUCCGCCGUCAAAUCCCAGGGCUCAACUCUGGACAGGCGGUGGAAACUACCAAGCUGGAGUACGGUAGGGGCAGAGGGAAUUUCCGGUGGAGCGGUGAAAUGCGUAGAUAUCGUCUGGAAUGCCGAAGGUGAAAACAGCUCGCUGGGGCUGCGCUGACGCUGAGACACGAAAGCCAGGGGAGCGAACGGG
rnacentral:rRNA from 1 species